rnacentral:rRNA from 1 species
UACGGAGGGGGCUAGCGUUGUUCGGAAUUACUGGGCGUAAAGCGCACGUAGGCGGAUAUUUAAGUCAGGGGUGAAAUCCCAGAGCUCAACUCUGGAACUGCCUCUGAUACUGGGUAUCUUGAGUAUGGAAGAGGUGAGUGGAAUUGCGAGUGUAGAGGUGAAAUUCGUAGAUAUUCGCAGGAACACCAGUGGCGAAGGCGGCUCACUGGUCCAUAACUGACGCUGAGGUGCGAAAGCGUGGGGAGCGAACAGG